rnacentral:rRNA from 1 species
CCUACGGGAGGCAGCAGUGAGGAAUAUUGGUCAAUGGGCGUGAGCCUGAACCAGCCAAGUCGCGUGAGGGAUGACGGUCCUAUGGAUUGUAAACCUCUUUUAUCGGGGAACAAAGGCUGGCACGUGUGGACUGAUGAGUGUACCUUAAGAAAAAGCAUCGGCUAACUCCGUGCCAGCAGCCGCGGUAAUACGGAGGAUGCGAGCGUUAUCCGGAUUUAUUGGGUUUAAGGGGUGCGUAGGCGGACAGUAAAGUCAGCGGUAAAAAUCGGGUGUUCAACGCCGUACAGCCGUUGAAACUGGGAGUCUUGAGUAGGCGUGAGGUAUGCGGAAUGCGUGGUGUAGCGGUGAAAUGCAUAGAUAGCACGCAGAACUCCGAUUGCGAAGGCAGCCUACCGGGGCACUACUGACGCUGAGGCACGAAAGCGUGGGUAUCGAACAGGAUUAGAUACCCUAGUAGUC